GCCUUCGUGGUGUAACGGUUAGCACACUCGGCACGUAUUCGAGAGGUCCAGGUUCGAGUCCCGGCGAAGUCA
rnacentral:tRNA from 1 species